AGCUUUGAGUGUGUAUAGUCGGGUCACUCUAAGUUUGAACACCAAGCUACAUUUAGCUCGUUUGGUGUUCUACCUUACAGUGAGCGGACUGUACACCAAAUCAUCACU